GAGCGUGUUCAGACCUCACCAACCAGAUGCGCAAGGCAGUUGGACAUAGUGGUGUUUUAGAGAUGGGAGUUACCAUUGACAAGCAUUAUACGACGGACAGACCGCAACGGUUGAAGUUGAAAAUCAUCAUUUGUGUUCUACUGAAGAAACAAAGUCACCUACAUCUUGGAUGCCCUGGGGAAUGGACAGGAUGAAUUCUGCGCUCUUAUUGGGGCUGUAAGUGGACGGUACAAUGAGAUACUCUCCUGGCUCCAGCCUGAAGAAUUUCAUCACCUGUCUUGCAUCCUGAAAGUCCCCGCUUGUUGCCACAGGCUUUC